GUGAGGAAUAUUGCGCAAUGGAGGCAACUCUGACGCAGCCAUGCCGCGUGCAGGAAGAAGGCGCUACGCGUUGUAAACUGCUUUUAACCGGGAAGAAACCCCAGGACGUGUCCUGGGUUGACGGUACCGGAGGAAUAAGCACCGGCUAACUUCGUGCCAGCAGCCGCGGUAAUACGAAGGGUGCAAGCGUUAUCCGGAUUCAUUGGGUUUAAAGGGUGCGUAGGCGGAGCGUUAAGUCAGUUGUGAAAUCCUGCAGCUUAACUGUAGACUUGCCAUUGAUACUGGCGCUCUUGAGUGCGCUUGAAGUGGGCGGAAUGUGCCGUGUAGCGGUGAAAUGCUUAGAUAUGGCACAGAACACCAAUUGCGAAGGCAGCUCACUAAGGCGAUACUGACGCUGAGGCACGAAAGCGUGGGGAUCGAACAGGAUUAGAAACCCCGGUAGUCC
rnacentral:rRNA from 1 species